rnacentral:rRNA from 1 species
CGCCAGACUCCUACGGGAGGCAGCAGUGGGGAAUAUUGCACAAUGGGGGAAACCCUGAUACAGCGACGCCGCGUGAGCGAUGAAGUAUUUCGGUAUGUAAAGCUCUAUCAGCAGGGAAGAAGAUGACGGUACCUGACUAAGAAGCCCCGGCUAACUACGUGCCAGCAGCCGCGGUAAUACGUAGGGGGCAAGCGUUAUCCGGAUUUACUGGGUGUAAAGGGAGCGUAGACGGCGGCGCAAGCCAGAUGUGAAAGCCCGGGGCUCAACUCCGGGACUGCAUUUGGAACUGUGUGGCUGGAGUGUCGGAGAGGCAGGCGGAAUUCCUAGUGUAGCGGUGAAAUGCGUAGAUAUUAGGAGGAACACCAGUGGCGAAGGCGGCCUGCUGGACGAUGACUGACGUUGAGGCUCGAAAGCGUGGGGAGCAAACAGGAUUAGAUACCCUGGUA